rnacentral:rRNA from 1 species
AUGCAAGUCGAGGGGCAGCACGGUAGCAAUACUGGUGGCGACCGGCAAACGGGUGCGGAACACGUACGCAACCUUCCUUUAAGAGAUGAAUAGCCCGGAGAAAUCCGGAUUAAUGCAUCGUAAGAUUGUGGGAUGGCAUCAUCCAGCAAUUAAAGAUUUAUUUCGCUUAAAGAUGGGCGUGCGCCUGAUUAGGUAGUUGGUGAGGUAACGGCUCACCAAGCCGACGAUCAGUAACUGGCGUGAGAGCGCGACCAGUCACACGGGCACUGAGACACGGGCCCGACUCCUACGGGAGGCAGCAGUAAGGAAUAUUGGUCAAUGGACGGAAGUCUGAACCAGCCAUGCCGCGUGAAGGAUGAAAGCCCUCUGGGUUGUAAACUUCUUUUAUCUGGGAAGAAAUCACUCUUUUCUAAGGGUGUUGACGGUACCAGAGGAAUAAGCACCGGCUAACUCCGUGCCAGCAGCCGCGGUAAUACGGAGGGUGCAAGCGUUAUCCGGAUUCACUGGGUUUAAAGGGUGCGUAGGCGGAUUAGUAAGUCCGUGGUGAAAUCUCCAAGCUUAACUUGGAAACUGCCAUGGAUACUAUUAGUCUUGAAUGUUGUGGAGGUUAGCGGAAUAUGUCAUGUAGCGGUGAA